rnacentral:rRNA from 1 species
UACGGAGGGUGCGAGCGUUGUCCGGAAUCAUUGGGCGUAAAGGGCGCGUAGGCGGCAAUUCAAGUCAUCUGUGAAAUCUCCGGGCUUAACCCGGAACGGUCAGAUGAUACUGCUUUGCUAGAGUGCGGAAGGGGCAAUCGGAAUUCUUGGUGUAGCGGUGAAAUGCGUAGAUAUCAGGAGGAACACCGGUGGCGAGGGCGGGUCUCUGGGCCGUUACUGACGCUGAGGAGCGAAAGCGUGGGGAGCGAACAGG